rnacentral:rRNA from 1 species
UAGCUUGCUACCGGUUAUUUCUAGCGGCGGACGGGUGAGUAACGCGUGAGCAACCUGCCUUUAUCAGGGGGAUAACGCAUCGAAAGAUGUGCUAAUACCGCGUAAGACCACAGCCUCACAUGGGGCAGGGGUCAAAGGAGCAAUCCGGAUAAAGAUGGGCUCGCGUCCGAUUAGCUAGUUGGUGAGAUAACAGCCCACCAAGGCGACGAUCGGUAGCCGACCUGAGAGGGUGAUCGGCCACAUUGGAACUGAGAGACGGUCCAGACUCC